rnacentral:rRNA from 1 species
CAGCCGCCGCGGUAAUACGAACUGUGCGAACGUUAUUCGGAAUCACUGGGCUUAAAGGGUGCGUAGGCGGGUUUAAAGGUCUGAUGUGAAAGCCCACGGCUCAACCGUGGAAUUGCGUUGGAAACCAUAAGCCUUGAGGGAGUCAGAGGUGAGCGGAACUGAUGGUGGAGCGGUGAAAUGCGUUGAUAUCAUCAGGAACACCGGUGGCGAAAGCGGCUCACUGGGACUUCUCUGACGCUGAGGCACGAAAGCUAGGGGAGCGAACGGGAUUAGAUACCCCGGUAGUCCUAGCUGUAAACGAUCAGUACUAGUCUGUGGGGGCUUCCACACCCUCUCGGACGUAGCGAAAGUGUUAAGUACUGCGCCUGGGGAGUAUGGUCGCAAGGCUGAAGCUCAAAGGAAUUGACGGGGGCUCACACAAGCGGUGGAGGAUGUGGCUUAAUUCGAGGAUACGCGAAGAACCUUACCUAGACUUAACAUGUUUGGGAACGCCUGUGAAAGCAGGAAGUGCCUUUCGGGGAACCCUUACGUAGGUGCUGCAUGGCUGUCGUCAGCUCGUGUCGUGAGAUGUCGGGUUAAGUCCCUUAACGAGCGAAACCCUUGUCCUUAGUUGCCAGCGAGUAAUGUCGGGGACUCUAAGGAGACUGCCGGUGUUAAACCGGGGGAAGGUGGGGAUGACGUCAAGUCCUCAUGGCCUUUAUGUCUAGGGCUGCACACGUCCUACAAUGCACUAUACAAAGCGACGCAAAAUCGUGAGAUCGAGCAAACCGCAUAAAGUAGUGCCCAGUUCGGAUUGCAGGCUGAAAUUCGCCUGCAUGAAGCCGGAAUCGCUAGUAAUCGCGGGUCAGCAUACCGCGGUGAAUGUGUUCCUGAGCCUUGUACACACCGCCCGUCAAGCCACGAAAGUUGGGGGGGCCCGAAGUCGCGAUUCUAACCUCGUGAAGAUAGCGCCGAAGGUCAACUCGAUGAUUGGGACUAAGUCGUAACAAGGUAGCCGUA